ensembl:lncRNA
AAAGGGGGAACCUGCUGGGCUAGGUUAUCCAGCCUGCUAUAAAAGGCAACCUGUCAGUGCACUCAGGUGAUGGAGGCUUAGGACAGGUGUUGCAUGCCUGGAUUAGCUCUGCAACAAGGAUGCCUGUUUCUCUGUACUAUAAUGUUUCAUAUUCUAGAAGCUGGAGAGGCCACGGCUCAGUCAGCCAUGCACUCGUGCCCUUUCCGGAGACACACUGGAGCUGGGCUUGGGGCCGUUCUGGCAGUGUUGGUGGCUUGAGUUAAGUCCGCCUAUUUAUUAAGGUGACAUUUGCCCAAACGCCCUCCAGAGCUCUGCCACCACUGCCUGUACGGAUAGCCUCUUAGCAUUUCUGCAUUUUUACUGUCUAAAGAAGAUUUUUGUUUGAGAAUGUCCCUGGUUUGUUUCAAGUGCCAGGAAUGUGAAAGGAACUGCUGCUGGAAGACUCAGCCAAAGGUCACCAAAGCUGCUCCCUGUGCUGAGAGUUUCCUGUAAGGGAAAGAGAUGAUUGUGUAGGUGCAACACAGAUGUAGUUGCCCUCUGCUUUGAAGCAAAGCGCAGGUCAGAGCCAAUGGGAGCCUUUAAUAAUGUGGCCGUCUCAUCUGGCGCUGAAGGCAGAAAGUUUUCUUGCUAAUUGGAUUGUUGUGAGAUUAUCUGAGGAGGAACAAGCUCCUCUGGACAGAGGAGGGCUGGGAGCACACAGAGUCAUGGAGAAGGAGCAGUAAAAAAAGAACAGGAAGCAAUAAAGAAAAAAGAACAAGCACUGUACUCACACAAGCUCUAGCGUAAGACUGGUCUGCUAGGUAGAGGAGGGCACAGCAACAGUCAACCCCACGCCGAGGACACCGCAUCCAUACUGACCAUCAGCAGGCAGUGGCUGUUCUUCUGGAAGGAAGCAGUGAAGCUCAGAGCCAAAUAAAACGUGCCCAGGUUCACACCGAUGUACAGCCAGGACCAACAUGCAGCAUCAGAGAAGGCAACUGAAGAAGGUCUCUUCAUAAGGACCAUCAAGUCCGACUCUUGGCUCCAUACAGAACCACUCAGAAGUCGGACCUUAUGUCUGAGUACAUUGACCAGACCAGACGCUCCUUGAACUCCAGCAGCUCGGGGCCGUGCCACUGCCCUAGGCAGCCUGUUCCAUGCCCACCACCCUCUGGUGAAGAACCUCAUCCUAACCUCCAACCUGACCUUCCCCUGGCAGAGCUCCAUGCUGUUCCCUCAGGCCCUGUCGCUGUCACAGAGAGCAAAGCUCAGCGUUUCCCAUCCUUUCCUCAAAUGGAGACCAAAAUAGAACAACUGGUCACGGGUAGCAGAGCGUGUGCUACAGAGGGCUCAAGCUCAUCAGUCUGUCUCCAUUUCAUGCAUUUUUCAUGCAUCACCUCUUACUUCUGAGCUAUUCAUUUUAUCUUUGUUUUCACCUGCAUCUAAUGAGCCUUUUCUGUGCUUUUGAUCAGAGAUGGUUCUGUGAAGACUUUUGUAAGGCUCUUCUCUCCCAUCCUCUUCAUCUUCCUCAACUCCUCCUUCUCUUCUGCCCUCCUUAGUUGUUCGUUUCCCAUCACAGGUAAAAAUCUUUGAGAGACAAUCAUCAGCCCUGCUAAGUGAGUCAGGAUAGUGAAUGGGAGGAAAUAAGGGCAUAUCCUGUGGUGCCAAAUAGCAGCAGCUAUAGAAAUGGCACCAAAAGCACCCUUUCUCUCUCUCUUCUGGAAGAACUGGGAUGGUGCCAUCCAGAGGAGAGCCCUGGGGGCUUGCUGAAUGAACCCUUCCUCCCAGCAUCGUACACCAGCAGAGAAAAGCAUGGGCUCACUGCCAGCUGUGCCAUUAUCUGCCUGAACACUGGGCCAGGAGCAGCUAGAGAGAUGGGUCUGAAUGGGGACUGAACAUCAUGAUUUCUCCCUACGCCUACUCUUUUCUGCAAGGCCAAUAUAGUCACUGUCAGGUGGAGAAAAACAGAUUGGUCCUGCUGCGUCAGCCCAUCGUAUCAGUCUCCAUCUCCAGCUGCAGCCAGCAUCGGGAGCUGCAGAAGGGACAGAUGGCUCCAGAUAGUGACACCUCUGCUCCACGAGUGUGCACUGCCCAAAUGCUGAUGCUGGCGAGUGCACCAAGCAGGCAGGCAUAGCCCCUGGUAGUCAUGGUGGUUCUUGCAGCCACAGCCUGCAAUGCUCUGAGACUGCAUUAGCCACAUGAAAAGUUCAGCUUGGAUUUCUUCAUACAUGGGAGGAGUAGGAGGAACAAAUGCCUCUGGAGCAUAUUUCAUUGUAUGUCUGACUUUUACAUCAGUAAAUAGCUACAAGCUCUAAGAAAGGUUGAUGGUCUCUGAUUAACCAGAGAAAACUGCUGAGAUGGGGAACUUUUUCUCUUCUUGUGGCCAUAGCUUUAACAC